CACGUAGGCACCAAGCGUUAUCCGGAUUUAUUGGGCGUAAAGAGCUCGUAGGCGGUUCGGUAAGUCGGGUGUGAAAACUCUGGGCUCAACCCAGAGAGGCCACCCGAUACUGCUGUGACUAGAGUACGGUAGGGGAGCGGGGAAUUCCUGGUGUAGCGGUGAAAUGCGCAGAUAUCAGGAGGAACACCAGCGGCGAAGGCGCCGCUCUGGGCCGUAACUGACGCUGAGGAGCGAAAGCAUGGGUAGCAAACAGG
rnacentral:rRNA from 1 species